GACAAACGCUGGCGGCGUGCUUAACACAUGCAAGUCGAACGGUCUUCCUUCGGGAAGAUAGUGGCGGACGGGUGAGUAACACGUAGAUAACCUGCCCUUAUGUGGGGAAUAACCCCUCGAAAGAGGAGCUAAUACCGCAUGAGUUCUCUGUUGUUAGAUAGAGAAGAAACCUCGGUUUAUACCUGGGGCAUGAGGAGGGGUCUGCGGCGGAUUAGCUAGUUGGUGGAGGUAACGGCUCCCCAAGGCAACGAUCCGUAGCUGGUCUGAGAGGACGGCCAGCCACACUGGGACUGAGACACGGCCCAGACUCCUACGGGAGGCAGCAGUGAGGAAUAUUCCACAAUGGGCGAAAGCCUGAUGGAGCGACGCCGCGUGAGGGAUGAAGCUUUUCGGAGUGUAAACCUCUUUUUUAGGGGAUGAAACGUGGGGGUAACCCCACUAAGACAGUACCCUAAGAAUAAGCAUCGGCUAACUACGUGCCAGCAGCCGCGGUAAUACGUAGGAUGCAAGCGUUGUCCGGAUUUACUGGGCGUAAAGCGCGCGCAGGCGGCAUACCAAGUAUUCAGUGAAAUCUCCCUGCUCAACGGGGAGGGUGCUGAGUAGACUGGUAAGCUAGAGGACGGUAGAGGGGGGUAGAAUUGCUGGUGUAGCGGUGAAAUGCGUGGAGAUCAGCAGGGAUACCCGUGGCGAAGGCGGCCCCCUGGGCCGUUUCUGACGCUGAGGCGCGAAGGCUAGGGGAGCGAACGGGAUUAGAUACCCCGGUAGUCCUAGCAGUAAACGAUGGCCACUAGGUGUGAGGGGUGUUGACCCCCCUUGUGCCGAAGCUAACGCAUUAAGUGGCCCGCCUGGGGAGUACGGUCGCAAGACUAAAACUCAAAGGAAUUGACGGGGACCCGCACAAGCAGCGGAGCGUGUGGUUUAAUUCGAUGCGACGCGAAGAACCUUACCUGGGCUUGACAUGGCAUCGCAACCUCUCGAAAGAGAGGCCUCCUCCGGGACGGUGUCACAGAUGUUGCAUGGCUGUCGUCAGCUCGUGUCGUGAGAUGUUGGGUUAAGUCCCGCAACGAGCGCAACCCUUGUUUCUAGUUGAAUAUCUAGAGAGACUGCCGCACACAAAGCGGAGGAAGGUGGGGAUGACGUCAAGUCAGCAUGACUCUUACGUCCAGGGCUACACACACGCUACAAUGGCAGUUACAGAGAGAAGCCAACCCGCGAGGGUGAGCAGACCUCAUAAAGGCUGCCUCAGUUCAGAUUGCACUCUGCAACUCGAGUGCAUGAAGUUGGAGUUGCUAGUAACCGCGUGUCAGCAUAGCGCGGUGAAUAUGUUCCCGGGUCUUGUACACACCGCCCGUCACGUCAUGGGAGUUGGCAACACCUGAAGUCCGUGAGCUAACCUGGUUUACCAGGGGGCAGCGGCCGAGGGUGGGGCUGAUGACUGGGACG
rnacentral:rRNA from 1 species